AUUCAAAAAUUCCAGCACCAACUGAAAUCUGUGACCAACGAGCUAACAAACUCACCCCAAAUUUCCUCAAAACCUAAAACAGUAGACACUAUAGACCAACCCAUGUCCCCAAACUAACAAAACAUCGGUCACCACAACGUCAUCACCGAAAACUCCCGGCCACACCUCUUGGUGUUUAUCAACAACCCUAAACUUCACCAUCCAAGCCCAGAGUCAAAAGCCCCGUGUCCACGUCAACAACAAAACAGUCGUUGCAGUAACUUCAAGUUCCGACCGCAAUCAGUCAACCUCAAGCACCUAGGAUAUGUAUAUCGGCUCAGCAUCUGUCUUGGGUUUCUUGUCCUAAUUAAAUAACGUGUUUGUUUUAUUAUAUAGAGUAAUUUGGGCAUUUUGUAUUUUGGUUCAUUCAUUUAUAUAAAGGGAAAAAAAUAAGAAAACGGAAGGAAAAAAAAGAAGAAGAAGAAAUUGAGAGAGGGUGGGAUGGAGAAUUUUACUGUGUUAAACAUAUGCUUUUAUUUUAGUAUCUUAGCUUGCAAAUUUUAACGAAAAAAUGUUAUGGUGUGAAUAUUAAACGUUAGCAUUUCACUUGUUAAAAAAUGGAAGAAAACUUAUUCAAUCUUCGCUACCGUUUAAUGAGCUCCCAUCAUUACAUGAACCUACUGAGUUUUUAUUUUCACAGGUGGACCAAUUGCAUGUUGUUUUCAUGCUCACAUCUAUUAAUAUGAUCAUUUGUAUAUCUCAUGGGCACAUCCAUCAAUUCGUACACUACAGUAGUCAGGUAGUAAGGUUACUAGAUAUUAUGGCUAAUGCGAAGUAAUUCCUUAUCAUGUUGGACCUAGAUUGUGAGUAGAUGAUAAUUAACAUAGGGAAUGUCUUCACGUCCAUAGAGACUGUUAUGACCCUUACAUUGGAAGAUAUUGAUAAUAUCCCGUUAGACCUGAUUAUCCUUCUUUCAGAUUGUGGUCAAAAUAGACAUAAGGAGGCUACUCUCACUAGAUUUAGUGUAGUGAAAAGACUUUGUGAGAAGUGCACUAACACGAUCAAACCUUACUGGUCAUAAUCUAUAAAAUCUUUAUGGAUUUGUUAGAUUAUAGUGUAGUUUUUUCCUCAUUGUUCAUAGAAGUUAAUAGUUGUAAAGAGUGUAUGGCGUCCCCUACCGUAACCACAUCUGCAGUCGAUAUACUUUGUCAUAAUCUAGGACAUGUGAUUUAUCACAAGCUAAAGGUGAUAAUGAAGUCAAUGCUCAAGGGUCUCUCCCAAUUCAAGAUCACAUAUGACAUAGUUUGUGCUGGCUAUCAAUACAGUAAAGCACAUCAACUACUGUAUCAAGAGUCAAAUUAUAGAGCAAAAAAUCAUUGGAGAUGAUACACUCUGAUGUGUUUGGACCUAUCAAGCAACCAUCAAAUCAAGGGAUGCACUACAUGGUGACAUUUAUCGACGACUUCUCAAGGUACGUUUGGGUUUUCUUUAUGAAAGAAAAAUCUAAGAAAAAUCUAAGACAUUUAUAAAGUUUAAGAAAUUUAAAAAUAAAGCAGAAGGAGAAGUCAAAAAUAAGAUUCGAUGCCUACACACGAAUAAUAGGGGAGAGUAUAGAUCGGGAAUAUUCUCCUAGUACUGAAAAGAACAUAAGAUACACUAUCAAUUGACAUGUCCAAACACGCCACAACAGAAUGAUGUAGCAAAAAUAAAGAAUCGACACUUUGCAGAAAGGUGUCAAAUUAUGCUACAAGCAAAUUAUGUGUCAGAAAGGUUUGGGGCUGAGUAUAUGAGGACAACAGUUUAUAUGACCAACAAGUUAUCACAAUCAAAGCUGAGGUUCACUUCACCAUUUGAGAAAUUAUGGAAAAUAAAGCCAACAGUAAGUCGCUUUCAUGUCUUUGGCUGCAUCUGUUAUGUAUUUGUACUUGAUCACUUAAGGAGCAAGUUUGAUAAGAAGGCAAUUGGGUAUAUAUAUGUGGGAAAGAAAAGGAUAGAGAACAACCUAUCAUUGUUACAUGUCAACAAACGUGGUUUUUGAUGAAACAUCUUCAUAGUGAACACCGCAGAUGAUGGAGUUACUAAAUUCAAAGGAAAUGGAUGACAAAUUGCAAGAAGAUAUCAAAAAAGCACAAUAAAGUCUUGAUGAAACAAAAGAUACAAGAAUCAAGUGAUGAGAAUGAGUCUAUUGGCACAAUACAAAAUCCUUAGCAAAUUGGUGUACAUUUGACAACACCAUUGGAUAUACGGCCAAGUCAAUAAGAGGAGGCUGAGGUACGGACGAACCCAUAACUACAAUUGAGAAAAUCAACUAGAGAGAAAAACGAAACCCCAAAUAUGCUAAUGCAGCAGUAGAAGAAGAUGAUAGCGCUUAUGAGCCAAAGAUCUUUGAAGAAGCGAUCCAACACAAAGAGUGGAGAAAAGCAAUGGAAGAAGAGUUCAUGGCUCUAAAGUAAAAUGAGACUUGGAAUUUGAUGCUAAGGUCUGAUGGAGUAAAGCCUAUAUCAUGCAGGUGAGUAUUCAAAGAAAAGAAACGUCCAAAUGGAUCAAUUGAAAGAUACAAAGCUCAGCUAGUAGCUCAUGGAUUUUCCUAGCAAUAUGGUUUGUACUAUGAUGAGAUGUUUAGUCCAGUGGCAAAGAUUACUAUAGUAAGAGUACUUAUAGCUUUAGCAGUAAGCAAAUCUUGGACGUUGUGGCAGAUGGAUGUGAAAAAUGCAAUUCUCCAUGGAGAACUUGAUCGAAACAUAUACAUGGAGCAACUAAAGGGAUUCAAGAAUAAAAGAAAGCCAUGAUAUGUUUGCAAGCUAAAGAAAGCUCUUUAUGGUUAAAGCAAGCACCACAGGCAUGGUACAAUAAGAUAACGAAAUUCUUAGUUCAAAGCGGAUACUCCAUAGCACUAGGAAACUCGAGCUUAUUCAUCAAAAUAGAUAAUGAAAAACUAACAAUAGUGCUAGUAUACGUGGAUGAUCUUAUCAUCACUAGAGAUGAUGAAAAUGAAAUCCAACAAACCAAAAAGAAUCUAUCGGUGUGAUUCCAAAUGAAAAGAGUUUGGAGAGCUAAAUCAUUUUCUAGGACUCAAGAUGAAAAGAAUGAAAGAAGGAUUAUUCUUGUGCCAGCACAAAUAUGGCAGACAUCUCUCACAGAUGUUUUAAAUGAUCGACUGCAAACCAAUAUCGACACCAAUCGAGAUUAACUCCAAGCUACGUACAGAUGAAUGCAAGGACUUGGAGAAUGUAUCCAUGUAUUGACAACUAGUGGAAAGCUUAAUCUACUUGACACUAACAUGACCUAAACAUAGCGUACGCAGUUGGGAUAGCAAGUCGCUUCAUAAGAAAGUCGAAUAAGCCACAUCUUGAAGUGGUGCGAUGGAUGUUAAGGUAUGUAAAAGGAAUAACCGAUUAUGGACUCUUUUACAAGAAAAAUAAAUAUUACAAGAUAGUUAGCUAUUGUGAUACGAACUUUGUUGGAUGUCGUGAUAUACGAAGAUCGACAACUGGGUACGUGUUUAGUCUUGGGUCAACUAUAAUAUCAUAAUGCAGUAAAAGACAAUCAUGUCCUUGUCAACCGCAGAGGCUGAAUAUAGAGCAGUAGCUAUGGCAGAUCAAGAAAGUACACUGCUAAUACAAUUGAUGAAGGAUCUACAUCAACCAGUAAGCUAUGGAGUUAGAACUAUAUUCUAAUAAUCAAUCAGCUAUUCGUAUAGCAAAAAUCCAGUGUGCUAUACUAGAACUAAGCACGUCAAAGUGCGUUAUCAUUGCGUCAAAGAAAAGGUGCUUAAAGUGGAGAUAGUCUUGAAACAAGAGAUGUAUCCACUGGAUCGAAUCAGGAGGAUUUUUUCAGCCACAAGCAUAGUGACCAAAUAGACCCUCUCUUGUAGCUCGCUGAAAGAUCUGGAUGAGAACCAAUAAAAAGAAAUUAAGUAUAGAUCUUUAACUAAUUAAUUGAUACAAAAUGACACCUUCGAAGUUUUAUCAUUCAUAUCAUAUGCCUUUACAUCACCCUCAAGGAUGAUAGGUAUCUAUAGCUCAGGUAAUAUAGAAAAACUUGCAAGUUUGGAGAGCAAUUUUAAUUACAUUAAAAGGAUACUGGAGUUGGCAAUGAGAAGACUAAUAGUCGUGCAACAUAAGCUAGAUAGAAUCUUAAACGAACAAAGGAGAGAAAAUUUUCAAGCCAUCUUACUAUUCAAAUGAGGGAAGAUAAUGAGAGAAAAUAGAUUAUUCCAUUAUGAACUUAAAUAUCUAACUCUUCAGCGUAAGACCAUACUAGACAUGGAAGGGAUCCAUCUCUAGAAUAAUUGGUAAUUCAGUGGAAGAUGUAAGGUUGUACUUAGUUCUAACCUAUCAUUCUUUAUAAAUUCUAUUGUAUCUAAAUACUUCUCAAAGUAAGGAUAGGGAAACCUUUUAAUUAGGCGUCCAUGGUUUCUCUCAAUAGACACAUGAUACUUCUCCUUGUCAGGGGUUCUUUGCAGCAUAGGAGAGUCAAUAUCAGAAUCAACAUUUGAGAAGACUAAUUAUAAGUACAUCCGGUUUUUCAUUGCUAAUUGACUCACAUGCUUGUAUAGACUUUCUCGUUGUAGAGAAACUUCAAGAAUGGCAUCACCACCAUCUCGGGUUUUUACCCUGUUUGUCAUUCCCAAAACAAAAGAAAAAAAAAUUAUAUUUACCACACAUCAAUGAUAAGAUAAUGACUGAGUAAUUGUUCAGAAUGUGCACUAGACAUCUAAAUUAUACAUGUAGAACCACAUAUUGGUAUGUGACUAUUUUAGCAUAAAAGGAAGAUGAAGAAUAACAUAAUGCGGCCGCCCUAGCUGGCUUCACCGAAACUGCCACGUCGGCCACGGGAGAGUCUUUUUUUUCCUUCAGAGUUCAGUCAUCAGUGUCGUGAGUCAUAACUGUUGGCUUGGGUGUUGGGUUGUUGGCUGUUGGGCUUCAAUUUUUUUUUUAAAUCCGGCCCAACUAAAGAAGCCCAAAUGACCUGCAGCCUGCUCCACCUCCACUCCAUACCAUAUACCCAGAUUUUUACACCCGAAGCAGAGACGCGGUGACCAGAUUGAAGAUUCCCAAAUUUUUCCACCACCCACCAUUACCAUUUACCAAUCUAGGGCUCUCCCCGUCUUAGCCGUCAACCAUCGGUCCACCGGUCCACCACUAUCACAGGCCGCAGCAGCUAGCAGAUGCUGCAGUGCCACUCGCCAAGUCCGCUAGACCGCAGUGAAGCAGGCAGCCCACACGGGUCGCACUCCUCUUCAAAAAAUGCAAGAUUCUUUUAGACUUUUAGUUAUUUGAUGUUCGGUGAUUCGUGCAUGUGAUAUUGAUCUAAUUUUCCAAAAAUCUUGGAUUUCAUUUUGGCUGCAAGUCUGCAACUCCAGGCUCCAGCUCUAAAAUUUUUCUUAAAUUUUUCAUAUUUUUAUAUAUUUUGCAAUACUUGUGGGAAUUUAUUAAAGUGAUUGCUGAUUAUGUGAACUUCGAAGUGAAUGAGUUGAAAAUGCUAUUGUACUGCACUCUGCACUACUGCAUCGGCAUCCUCGUGUGAAGAACAGAAAGAAGCCCAG
rnacentral:lncRNA from 1 species